rnacentral:lncRNA from 1 species
AUGCUUUCAUUUAUUUUUUUUGCCUGUUGUUUGUUAAACAAACUAACUUUACUAACUAAAAGUAGUUUGCAUGGUAUAGUCAAAUUCAGACCAGACAUCAGUGAUAUACAAGCUGACAUCAGAGUAAGACUCUUGAUAAGGUUUGUGACAGCCUUUCUGCCUUCUUUGUAUUUCUAAAAGAACUCCUAGGAGCUUUACUCAACCACAGAUACCUCCUCAGACACCUACAUACUGCCCUGUAAA